ensembl:lncRNA
GGUGUGAUCACGAGUCCUUGUAAGUGGGAAUCAGACUCAAAUUUGAAGACACUAUGCUGCUGGUUUUGAAGAUGGAGGAAGGGGCCAGGAGCCCGGAAGUUCAGACAGCCUCUAGACAGUUUCCCAGAGCCUCCAGAAAAAAGGCUGCCCUUUAACACUUUGAUUCUCACCUCAUGCGACCGACUUCAGGCUUCUGAUCUACAUAAUGAAACUUGAAGAUCUUUUGGUGACUCUUUGGGAUGGAGCUUGGAGAGAUGGGUAGAGAAGAUUGAAGGGAUUAUGGGAAGUAAGAGACGAUGGAAAGAAGAUUCCAAAAGAGAGUCACUGGACACCCAUCAGAGGAGGACACUGCGUGGAACAGAGAAAAGUUGGUAAAGGCUGAUUAGACUGUUACACCUACUUUUUUCCAGAAGAUGGAAGAUAGGAGAAAAUAUUACCACCAUGAAAGGAGGGGGAAACCCAAAGGAAAAUCUGUUUUUUAAAAAUCUGGGGCUUGUCAGCAAGAUACACAGCUCUGAAGAUUAGAGCAAAGAAAACAAAUGUCUACUUGGAGCUCCUUUCUAUCUGCUAGAUUUGAUGCUGCCUGACUCAUGAAUAAAGCCAAGAAAACAAGAGAAAGGAUCCUUGAAGGAGGGAAGUAGAAGCAGGUGGUCAAUUAAGAAGCUCCUGCAGCCAUCAAGACAACAGAUGUUCAUGCUGCCUCUGGCUGAGAUGAUUGGAUGGUGUUUGCCAUCAGUGCCUCUAAGACUCCUCACUCUCACUGCAGAGGGCCCAGGUUCGAUCCCUUGUCAGGGAAAUAGAUCCCACAUACAGCCACUGAAGUUCUCACGUCCUGCAACAGAAGAUCCUGUGUGCAGCAACUAAGACCCAGAGCAGCCAAAUAAAUAAAUAUUUUUUAAAAGUAACUCCUUUUAUGUUUAGACAGCUCUGAGAUUCUUCUUUGUUAAAGAAACUGGCCUCCCAAGACUUGAAGAGGCACAAUUUUGUUCUGCAAUCUCCUCUGCGUGACACCUCUCACGUGUGUGAAGAUAGUUCUUGCAGCUUCCUCGGGUCCUCUUUCUGCUUAUCUAGACCAAGCUCCCUGACAGUGCCUUCCUCGGUUCAGGCUCAGAUAUCACUUCUGCAGGAGACACCCUUCAUUCAUGAGGUCAUUCAUUCAUCCAAACUUUAUUAACAACUCAUUGUGUACCAUGUACUUGAUAGAACCUAGAAAUACAGAAAUGAAGGUAUAGUUCCUACCUUCAAGAAAUACAGCAUCCAUCGGGAGAGGGGGACGUUUAAAGAAAUAAUUGUAACAUCACUGGCAAGUGCUGUAACAGGGAUAUGGUGCGACACAAGGGCCACUCAGUCCAACGACUGACUUUUAAACUGGCCAUGCUAGGGCAUUCAUUUUACCAUAAUUAUCUUGCAUGGUGAUCACCGGAACUAAAAAGACUAGAAGAAUUCUAAAAAGAGUACUUCCACCACUCUGAUCUAAAUGUGAUAAUCCUAAGAAUGCAGCCCAGAACUGUAAUUAAUUUAUUUAGCAGAUGACUAACUUAAAAAAAAACUUCUGGCAUUAAUUUCAUGAAAUGCAAUUAGGUCCAUCCUGUGCAAAUGAAAAAAAAAAAAAAAAAACAGAUGGAAGGAUAGAUAGAUAGAGUGACAGUAGACAGAUAUAGGAAGUAUUUUAUAUUUAUUCAUCCUUGGUAAAUACCUUCUCAUUUCAGUCUAGCAAAACACUCAGAUACAGCGCCAGGCCUAAGAAGCAGGGUUGAAUUUCCAAUUCUGCUUCUUCUAGCUGCAGGAACUACCUCUUUAGUCUAUUUAGGGGAUUAAAAGAAAUAAUGAAUGAAAUUAUCUAGCGUAUCUCCAGCCUCAAGCUU